rnacentral:lncRNA from 1 species
CAGUGACUGGUGAACCUCUGGAGGUUUGCUUGGGACAAAUACCAAUUCAGCUGCCAAACCUUAUCUGAACCAUCUGAACCGCUUGUGUCUAAAAGAAUUGGGCUGGAAAUCUCAUCAGAUAAGGAUUUACUCUGUGAUUGACUCUAGUUAUUGCUUCCAGAUGGGUUAGACUUACUGACAUAACUGCCCCUUUCGCUUGGUAUUUGGUAUAUCCAGUUCUCCAGUUUUUCAUGGGAAAAAUGUAUAAUUGACCAAAAAAUAUAUGUAUAUUUUAUAUUGUGUACAUUUUGAUUUUUCUUCAUUUUUUAUCCUCCAGUCUCUAUUUCCUAAUUGUUCCUGAACUGUAGAGAAAUCUGUACUUUUUCAGCAGAGAGCCCUCUGAUUUCAGUGAAAUAUUUGAAUAUUGUCCUGCCUUGUUUUGGAAAGAAACCUACAAUUACAACAAGCAAACUGCUUAUAGGACUUCAGUGCAAAAUAGAUUGCAGCUCAGCUCAGGAAGGAUUAUUAUUACCUGUAGGUUCCUGGAUUAAGCAAGGCAUUCACCGAGAGCCACAGUCAGAGCCGUGACUAAGGGAAGAAAAUGUGUCAGUGCACCCUUGUGCAGAAAGUCGAGGAGCUUCAUUUGAGUUCCCAAUGAAAAUAUAUAUCUAAAAGCAAAUACACUAUUUUAUGCUGUAUG